UCUUCACUUCCGGUCGGAAGUGCAUUUGCGGAGCCACUUCCGCCGGGGGAGCCGAGCCCGCGUGCUUCGUAUUGAGGGGGAUUUACUCUGUGGAGCGCGGCCCGGAGGCGCCGUGCGACCUCUGGAAACAGCUCCCAGGACUUUAGAAACUCCUGGGGCUCGAGCAGCCGCUCUCGGGACGCCCGCGGGCGGAGCCGCGGACGGGCGGCGGGUUGCAGGGGUGCACUGUGCCGGGGCGUCCCCGCCGGCCGUGCACGGGGCCAGCCGCGUAAACCGAACUGUAUUGUUCUUUUUUUUUUCUCUCUCCCCCUCAGAAAAUGAACUCUCCGGCCCCCAGCGACUGCACGAAAUCACGCAAUACCUCCUUUCUCCUCUGAGGAGAGUUUCGAGUGACCUCAGCUGGGGCCACCAGGUCAUCUGACUGGAAGGUUGGUAUGUGUGCCCUGAAUGAGAACCUGGCCCUGCUGCGUGCACUUGGACCUGUUGGGUUUGACUCUGACAUGCUUUUUAGGUAUCUACCAGCUUAAGACUGCUUUGUGUAGUGGCUGUAAAUAAAUGGAGUUUGACCACAC